UUGAACGCUGGCGGCCUGCCUUACACAUGCAAGUCGAACGGUAACGGGCCUUCGGGUGCCGACGAGUGGCGAACGGGUGAGUAAUACAUCGGAACGUGCCCGAUCGCGGGGGAUAACGAGGCGAAAGCUUUGCUAAUACCGCAUACGAUCUACGGAUGAGAGCAGGGGACCGCAAGGCCUUGCGCGGACGGAGCGGCCGAUGGCAGAUUAGGUAGUUGGUGGGAUAAAAGCUUACCAAGCCGACGAUCUGUAGCUGGUCUGAGAGGAUGAUCAGCCACACUGGGACUGAGACACGGCCCAGACUCCUACGGGAGGCAGCAGUGGGGAAUUUUGGACAAUGGGCUCAAUCCUGAUCCAGCCAUGCCGCGUGCAGGAUGAAGGCCUUCGGGUUGUAAACUGCUUUUGUACGGAACGAAAAGCCUUCUUUUAAUACAGGAGGGUCAUGACGGUACCGUAAGAAUAAGCACCGGCUAACUACGUG
rnacentral:rRNA from 1 species